UUCCUCUUCAUUGUUUUCUUUCUCUUGUUUUCUUUCUCUUUAUCAAGUUUCAGAAUAAUCAGUUCUUGUCUUAAUCUCUGAAAGUGUCCAGUGAGACUUUUUAUUAACUCUUGGGUUGUCAUACAUUGGAUGUGUUUUAGUCAUUUAUUGGCAUUCUUCUCAGUCUUUGAAUUAUUCCAUCAUUGUAUAGGAGAAGCCCCUUCAAGAGGCCCCUGUGGCUGUGACAUGACCCAGUGGCCCAGUGGCCUUUGAGAGCCUCCUGACCUUUCAGCACAUUUCCUGCCCCCGACUCAGAAUCCACCAUUUCUCUAAGAAACUCUGCUUCCUUUAUGGGAAACUUUUUUUUUUUUUUUUUGAGACGGAGUCUUGCUCUGUCGCCCAGGCUGGAGUGCAGUGGGGUGAUCGCGGCUCACUGCAACCUCCGCCUUCCAGGUUCAUGCCAUUCUCCUGCCUCAGCCUCCCGAGUAGCUGGGAUUACAGGUGCCCACCACCAUGCCCGGCUAAUUUUUGUAUUUUUAGUAGAGACAGGGUUUCACCAUAUUGGCCAGACUGAUCUUGAACUCCUGACCUCGUGAGCUACCACGCCCGGCCAGAAGCAUUUUUUAGAGAAUACAAUCUAUGUUCCUAGGAGUGUUUAUUGUUAUUGGGUGGUCGCUGCUUCUAGGACUUUUGAGUGGGAAGACUUAGGAAAUUUUUGUUUGUUUGUUUUUUCUUUUAAGAGACAGGGUCUUGCUAUGUCACCCAGGCUGAAGUACAGUAGCAGUUCACAGACAGUCAUAGCUCACCGCAGCCUCGAAAUCCUGGGCUCAGGCGACCCUCCCAUCUCAGUCACAUGAGUAGCUGGGACUACAGGCACGCACCUCCAUGACCAGCUCCUGGCUGUAUUUUUUGGAAAGAGAACAGUUACUCACUUUAUUUUCUCUCCAGCAUCAAGCAGUAGACACUACUAGUCCCAUUUUUUAGAUGAAGAAACUGCGACCCAGAGACGUUAAGUGACUUACCCAGGGUCCCACAGCUUGUGAAUGGUGGAGCUGGGAUUCACACACACAGCCAAUCUUGACCAUUUGCUGCUUUGGUGAGCAGGGCCAGCUGCCCCCACCCUCACUCCCUUCCCACCCACAGGACAGCGGGGGGUGGACGCCCAUCAUCUGGGCUGCAGAGCACAAGCACAUCGAAGUGAUCCGCAUGCUACUGACGCGGGGCGCCGACGUCACCCUCACUGACAACGAGGAGAACAUCUGCCUGCACUGGGCCUCCUUCACGGGCAGCGCCGCCAUCGCCGAAGUUCUUCUGAAUGCGCGCUGCGAUCUCCAUGCUGUCAACUACCACGGGGACACCCCCCUGCACAUCGCAGCUCGGGAGAGCUACCAUGACUGCGUGCUGUUAUUCCUGUCACGUGGAGCCAACCCUGAGCUGCGGAACAAGGAGGGGGACACAGCAUGGGACCUGACUCCCGAGCGCUCCGACGUGUGGUUUGCGCUUCAACUCAACCGCAAGCUCCGACUCGGGGUGGGAAAUCGGGCCAUCCGCACAGAGAAGAUCAUCUGCCGGGACGUGGCUCGGGGCUAUGAGAACGUGCCCAUUCCCUGUGUCAAUGGUGUGGAUGGGGAGCCCUGCCCCGAGGAUUACAAGUACAUCUCGGAGAACUGCGAGACGUCCACCAUGAACAUCGACCGCAACAUCACCCACCUGCAGCACUGCACGUGUGUGGACGACUGCUCCAGCUCCAACUGCCUGUGCGGCCAGCUCAGCAUCCGGUGCUGGUAUGACAAGGAUGGGCGAUUGCUCCAGGAAUUUAACAAGAUUGAGCCCCCACUGAUUUUCGAGUGUAACCAGGCAUGCUCAUGCUGGAGAAACUGCAAGAACCGGGUCGUACAGAGUGGCAUCAAGGUGCGGCUACAGCUCUACCGAACAGCCAAGAUGGGCUGGGGGGUCCGCGCCCUGCAGACCAUCCCACAGGGGACCUUCAUUUGCGAGUAUGUUGGGGAGCUGAUCUCUGAUGCUGAGGCUGAUGUGAGAGAGGAUGAUUCUUACCUCUUCGACUUGGACAACAAGGAUGGAGAAGUGUACUGCAUUGAUGCCCGUUACUAUGGCAACAUCAGCCGCUUCAUCAACCACCUGUGUGACCCCAACAUCAUUCCCGUCCGGGUCUUCAUGCUGCACCAAGACCUGCGAUUUCCACGCAUCGCCUUCUUCAGUUCCCGAGACAUCCGGACUGGGGAGGAGCUAGGGUUUGACUAUGGCGACCGCUUCUGGGACAUCAAAAGCAAGUAUUUCACCUGCCAGUGUGGCUCUGAGAAGUGCAAGCACUCAGCCGAAGCCAUUGCCCUGGAGCAGAGCCGUCUGGCCCGCCUGGACCCACACCCUGAGCUGCUGCCUGAGCUCGGCUCCCUGCCCCCUGUCAACACAUGAGAACGGACCACACCCUCCCUCCCCAGCAUGGAUGGCUACAGCUCAGCCACCUCCUCUGCCACCAGCUGCUCGCAGCCCAUGCCUGGGGGUGCUGCCAUCUUCUCUCCCCACCACCCUUUCACACAUUCCUGACCAGAGAUCCCAGCCAGGCCCUGGAGGUCUGACAGCCCCUCCCUCCCAGAGCUGGUUCCUCCCUGGGAGGGCAACUUCAGGGCUGGUCACUCCCCUGUUCCCCAUCCUCAGUUGAAGUUUGAUGAAUUGAAGUCGGGCCUCUAUGCCAACUGGUUCCUUUUGUUGUCAAUAAAUGUUGGGUUUGGUAAUAAA
rnacentral:sRNA from 1 species